rnacentral:piRNA from 1 species
UCCAAUGUUUUUCNGAUGCUCACUUCCAGG